rnacentral:rRNA from 1 species
CUAGGAUUAGAUACCCUAGUAUACUAAAAUCAUAUAAGGUAGUAAAAAAUUUUUUUAAAACCUAUUUAUAAUGGCGGCAUUUCAUCUUAUUAGAGGAACCUGUUCUUUAAUCGAUAAUCCACGUUCAAUUUCACUUAAAUCAAAAAUUUAUAUACCGCCAUCUAAAAAACUAAUAUAAUAAUAAUAUUUUCAAUAAAUAAAAUAAAAAGUUAGGUCAAGGUGUAAUUAAUAUUUAAGUAAACAAUGGGUUACGCUGAAAAAUAUUUAAGGACAUUUCUAUAAAAAUAGAAAUAGAAAAAGGAUUUAAAAGUAAUAAUAAAAUAAUAUUUUAUUAUGAUUAAGAUAAUAAAUGUGCACAUAUCGCCCGUCACCCUUAU